GGAGAGGUGGCCGAGUGGUCGAAGGCACGCCCCUGCUAAGGGCGCAGAGGUUUUAUCGCUUCUCGUGGGUUCGAAUCCCAUCCUCUCCG
rnacentral:tRNA from 1 species